rnacentral:sRNA from 1 species
AUGUUACCAAGGGGCCAGGCACAGUGGCUCACGCCUGUAAUUCCAGCACUUUGGGAGGCCGAGAUUGGAUCUGGUUCCUCGCGUCUUGGAACAGCAGCAACUAUUAAAGGAGAUACAGACACUGCUAAGACUUCUGAUGAUAUCAGUUUAAGUCUGGGCCAAAGUUCUAGUCUUUGUAAGGAAGGAAGUGAAGAACAAGCUACUCAGGAGGCUGAGGCACGAGAAUCGCUUGAACCUGGGAGGCGGAGGUUGUAGUGAGCCGAGAUCGUGCGACUGCACUCCAUCCUGGGUGAAAGAGCAACACUCUGUCUCAAAUAAAUAAACACACACACACAUACAGAUUUGGCAGCUGAUCGGAAGCUCUUUCGUCUUGUCUCCAAUGACUCCUUCAUCUCUAUUCAGCCUUCCUUAUCCUCUUGUGGACAGGACUUGCCAAGGGACUUCAGUGACAAAGUGAACCUGCCAAGUCAUAACCACCACCACCAUGUUGAUCAGUCUCUGUCCAGCACCUGUGACACAGAAGUAGCUUCUCUUGUACCUUUACACUCAC